CACCACCAGAUUUCAUGUUGUCUUCCUGACAGCUUGAAUAAACUUUACUUUGAGGGGUUACCCUAAAAAGAAUCCAUUUCAAAGGUUUGCUGGUCUAUAAAGAUAGGGGGUCUGAACCUCAGGUGAUAAGCAAUUGAAUCAACUGAUUAUAUACAAUACUUCUGUAUUAUAAAAGUGUAUAGAAGAGGGUCUUUUCUAAAAGCUAAUGGCACACUGAUGAUUAAUAUCAUUGUGAAAUAUAACGAGGAGACCUUGUGGCACCUUAAAGACUAACAAAUAUAUUUGAG